rnacentral:rRNA from 1 species
UACAGAGGGGGCAAGCGUUGUUCGGAAUUACUGGGCGUAAAGGGCGCGUAGGCGGCCGCCUAAGUCAGACGUGAAAUCCCUCGGCUCAACCAAGGAAGUGCAUCCGAAACUGCAGAGCUUGAGUACCAAAGAGGAUCGCGGAAUUCCCGGUGUAGAGGUGAAAUUCGUAGAUAUCGGGAGGAACACCAGUGGCGAAGGCGGCGAUCUGGGUGGAUACUGACGCUGAGGUGCGAAAGCGUGGGGAGCAAACAGG